rnacentral:rRNA from 1 species
UACGAAGGGGGCUAGCGUUGUUCGGAUUUACUGGGCGUAAAGCGCACGUAGGCGGAUUGUUAAGUCAGGGGUGAAAUCCUGGAGCUCAACUCCAGAACUGCCUUUGAUACUGGCAAUCUUGAGUCCGGAAGAGGUGAGUGGAACUCCUAGUGUAGAGGUGGAAUUCGUAGAUAUUAGGAAGAACACCAGUGGCGAAGGCGGCUCACUGGUCCGGUACUGACGCUGAGGUGCGGAAAAGC